rnacentral:misc_RNA from 1 species
ACACGUUGCGACUUGCGAGUGUCGGUGGUGUCGGACUGUCGGUUAAGAGGCGUACACAUCAAGAAUUCGUGGUAGUGAAACAGCAAUGCAAAGCACCGCGUGUGAAUUGUCCUUAGAGAGAAGAAAAAAAUUUCACACAGUUAGUAAGAUAUGACAACACAAAGUUGAAGAAUUUACUAAUUUAGCCCUGACUGCUGGAGUGGAGUGGCGCCAAUUUGCUGUUAGCCCCUUUUGUGAUGUCAUGGUGAUGUGUUCAAUGUCAAGUAAUGCAUAUUAAUAGCUGGACCUGCUGGACCCUGACAAAUUAUUACUCGCACUUGAGAACAGGCUGGUAAAUUCUGAGCUUCUGAGUGUCAGUCAAAGGCGCUAUGUGCAGAUUGUUUUGUUGCUGCCAGCCAGUGAUAGGUGUUCUUCUUGCUACCUUUACCAGCUGUAUGUUUCGUAAUCGCCGAAAUGUCGGCGAUUGUUAGCUGUAUCUAUUCGGCUCUACGGCUCAUCUCGUGCAUUAUCACUAAAGAGCUUGUUAAUUCAGAGACAGAGAUCCCUUUGCACAACUGUUGCAGAAAUUGAAAACACAACAAAGUCUGAGCUUCAUGGCUGUCAUUCAUUUAACAUGGUUUUGUUGCAGCCAGCUGGUGAAAGGUGUGAUCGAGUCAAGUUGAGCUGCUGCAUGCAGUUUAUUGAGCUGGUGUUAUCUGAAGUGUCACUGCAGGAAGACUUCUUGAAUUGGAUUUCGUGGUUGGUUUGAUGUUUAUGGUGUUGCUGUUUUGUGUACAGUGGUUUUGCAGCCCCUUUCCAAUUGAGAGAUGCUCUGAAAUGGAGUUUGGUGGAGACUUGCAGUUCAACAUAACACUUAAAUGUGUCAUUUGCCUAUGUUGGUGUCCAUGCAGUAAAUGCAGUAUUGAACAGUUGGGUAACAUGAUUUUCUUCUCUGACCGCAGGUGCAAGGAUUACGUGUUUGAAACUUAGAUAAGUUUGCAGUAGAAUAUUUUCAAAAAAAGCCGACUCUCCUUCAUCAAACGGUUCGAAAUACCCAUCCCCAGCAACGUCAACCUACAGAAAGAAAAAGGCUAGUUUCUAUGGCCUUGAAGUUCGCGGUGAUCAUUACGCAAAACGUGUCAUGCAGUGGUGUAGAGGUUGGGUGAGAACGACACGUGUUGCAUUAUCAAAAAGGUCCAACAGCCGCAAGGCUUAGGAGGUGAGGGUGAGGAAAAAAUCGUAUAAAAGGAGAGAGAAAAGGCGAUUGAAACCAGUCGAGUGAGCAUCUCCGACACGGCAACAACUCCAUUCUUCUUCGUAAUAUCAGUUCGCAAUCAUGGUUAAUUAUGGCGGUGUGUUGCUGCCGGGUGUUGUAUCGUUGAUGUCGACUACGAGAGAAAAUUGUAUAAAAGGUAAGAGAAAAGGCGACAGAAGUCAAUCAAGUGAGCAUCUCCGACCCGUCAACAACUGCAUUCUUCGUCGUAUUAACAGGUCGCAUUCGCAAUCACGGUUAACUAUGGCGUCGUGCAGCUAUUGGUUGUUUCGUCGAUUUCUGGGUCGACCACUGGUGUGCUGAUGCCCCUGGGUAUGGCGGAUACCAAACCGCAACGCCUUCGCCUUACUACACUACAGCAAACGCAACGACCAGUUACUACACUGAGGUUGCACAGUUAGGUUUACAGUUACACCACCAAGGGUCCAGGUACACCAUAACUUGUGCUACUCCGAGCUACUACACCGAAGACCAGAAGUUUUAUUCUUCCCCGGGCUACACUACCAAAUCGCAUGUGCACACCCCCAAGGCUCGGAAGUACUAAACCCCCAAGGCACCUGAGACUACACUGUAACUACGUAUGCUGUCCCAAGUAGUACACCAAGGCUCCAAAGUACUGCAGCACUAAGGCACUGGACUAUUACACGACUAUACAUGCUGCUCAACCUACGACACCGAGGCUCCAGCUUAUUACACCACCAAAGGGGUCGAACACAGUAGCGCCCAAGUACGUAGCAUCUCCGACACCGAACACGGCAGCCCCGAAGUUUCGAAUAAUCUUCGUUUCAAACAGUGGAACGACAAAGAGUGAGGCAAAGAUACCGGCGGCGUAGCAUUCGUACGUGUACACCGCUUUAAACUUGACAUUGUUGGUCGGAAAGCCGAACUUGACGAUGGCCGUACCAUCACCUACGACAAGUGCGUUAUUGCCACAGGUGGUAUGUCUUUUCCGAUCCCUGAGCGGUGCCCUCAAAGAUGCCCACGAGCACGUAACGCUGUUCCGCAACAUCGAUGGCGGUAACAUAGGCCGAGUCCUCCCUAAAUAUUUGAGCCAAUGGACUUCCGAGAAGGCUGGAGAUGUUGCGUUCUUUUGUGAUAUCAAAUUGGGUCGUCGUCGGAUGGAACAUCACCACUUUGCUGUUGUAUCAGGGCGAUUGGCUGGAGAGAACAAUACUGGCAACGAAACAUGGAUGAACAACUGCAGUGCACUGUCACCAAGUGCAUUCUUCGUCGUAUUAUCAGUACGCAAUCGGUGUCGUGCUGUUGCCGUUUGUCGUAUCGUUGAAGGUUGGGUCGAUCACUGGUGUAUCCAUGUCUCCUGGGUAUGGCGGAUACCAAAGCACCACGCCGUCGCCUUGCUACACAAC